UACGUAGGGUGCAAGCGUUGUCCGGACUUAUUGGGCGUAAAGAGCUCGUAGGCGGUCUGUCGCGUCUGCUGUGAAAAUCCAGGGCUCAACCCUGGACCUGCAGUGGGUACGGGCAGACUAGAGUGCGGUAGGGGAGAUCGGAAUUCCUGGUGUAGCGGUGAAAUGCGCAGAUAUCAGGAGGAACACCGGUGGCGAAGGCGGAUCUCUGGGCCGUAACUGACGCUGAGGAGCGAAAGCAUGGGGAGCGAACAGG
rnacentral:rRNA from 1 species